CUAGUAACGGCGAGUGAAGCGGCAACAGCUCAAAUUUGAAAUCUGGCCCUUUAUAACCGAGUUGUAAUUUGUAGAGGAUGCUUUUGGUGAGGCGUUUUCCGAGUUCCCUGGAACGGGACGCCAUAGAGGGUGAGAGCCCCGUCUGGUUGGACACCGAUCCUCUGUAAAGCUCCUUCGACGAGUCGAGUAGUUUGGGAAUGCUGCUCUAAAUGGGAGGUAUAUGUCUUCUAAAGCUAAAUAUUGGCCAGAGACCGAUAGCGCACAAGUAGAGUGAUCGAAAGAUGAAAAGCACUUUGAAAAGAGAGUUAAAAAGUACGUGAAAUUGUUGAAAGGGAAGCGCUCAUGACCAGACUUGGGCUUGGUUGAUCAUCCAGGGUUCUCCCUGGUGCACUCUUCCAGUUCAGGCCAGCAUCAGUUCGCUGUGGGGGAUAAAGGCUUUGGGAAUGUGGCUCCUUCGGGAGUGUUAUAGCCCAUUGUGUAAUACCCUGUGGUGGACUGAGGUUCGCGCAUUCGCAAGGAUGCUGGCGUAAUGGUCAUCAGCGACCCGUCUUGAAACACGGACCAAGGAGUCGUCUUCGUAUGCGAGUGUUCGGGUGUUAAACCCCUACGCGUAAUGAAAGUGAACGCAGGUGAGAGCUUCGGCGCAUCAUCGACCGAUCCUGAUGUUCUCGGAUGGAUUUGAGUAAGAGCAUACGGGGCCGGACCCGAAAGAAGGUGAACUAUGCCUGUAUAGGGUGAAGCCAGAGGAAACUCUGGUGGAGGCUCGCAGCGGUUCUGACGUGCAAAUCGAUCGUCA
rnacentral:rRNA from 1 species